rnacentral:lncRNA from 1 species
CAAAGUACACUCCACGAUUCUGUCCAAAACAUUUCUGCAGAAAAUUGCAGCAGAAUUUUCUGCAACAUUUUCUCUUCUUUUCGGUUCGAAUUUCAUUCCGUUAACCAUCCGAAAUCCACCCGAGGCCUUCCGGACCUUAACCAAUUAUAUCAACAUGUCCCACAAUAUUAUUCAAAUUGUUUCCAACCUUCAAAACACCCAAAAUAACAUCAAAACAUCAAAUCAUCGUCAGAUUCAAGCCUAAGAAUCUCAAGAUCUUUCAAAUUCCACAUCUGAUGCCGAAACACGUCAAAACUAGCCCGAAUGACUUCAAAUUUUGCAGACAAGUCCAAAAUGAUAUAGUGAAUAUACAAAAACUCUCGUAAUUCUAUUCCGACCCUCGAAUCAAAAUCUCACCUAUCAACCGGAAUUCGCCAAAAUAUUAACUUUGCCAAUUCAAGUUUAAUUCUACACCGGUCAUCAUAAAAA